rnacentral:rRNA from 1 species
UUGAACGCUGGCGGCAUGCUUUACACAUGCAAGUCGAACGGCAGCGAGGAGAAGCUUGCUUCUCUGUCGGCGAGUGGCGAACGGGUGAGUAUAGCAUCGGAACGUGCCAAGUAGUGGGGGAUAACCAAACGAAAGUUUGGCUAAUACCGCGUAAGCUCUAAGGAGGAAAGUAGGGGACCUAAAUAAGGCCUUACGCUAUUUGAUCGGCCGAUGUCGGAUUAGCUAGUUGGUGGGGUAAUGGCUCACCAAGGCAAUGAUCCGUAGCGGGUCUGAGAGGACGAUCCGCCACACUGGGACUGAGACACGGCCCAGACUCCUACGGGAGGCAGCAGUGGGGAAUUUUGGACAAUGGGGGAAACCCUGAUCCAGCCAUGCCGCGUGUAUGAAGAAGGCCUUAGGGUUGUAAAGUACUUUUGUUAGGGAAGAAAAGCUAGUUUUUAAUAAAAAUUAGUGAUGACGGUACCUAAAGAAUAAGCACCGGCUAACUACGUG